rnacentral:rRNA from 1 species
GGCGGACGGGUGAGUAAUGCUUGGGAACAUGCCUUGAGGUGGGGGACAACAGUUGGAAACGACUGCUAAUACCGCAUAAUGUCUACGGACCAAAGGGGGCUUCGGCUCUCGCCUUUAGAUUGGCCCAAGUGGGAUUAGCUAGUUGGUGAGGUAAUGGCUCACCAAGGCGACGAUCCCUAGCUGGUUUGAGAGGAUGAUCAGCCACACUGGGACUGAGACACGGCCCAGACUCCUACGGGAGGCAGCAGUGGGGAAUAUUGCACAAUGGGCGCAAGCCUGAUGCAGCCAUGCCGCGUGUGUGAAGAAGGCCUUCGGGUUGUAAAGCACCUUCAGUCAGGAGGAAAGGUUAGUAGUUAAUACCUGCUAGCUGUGACGUUACUGACAGAAGAAGCACCGGCUAACUCCGUGCCAGCAGCCGCGGUAAUACGGAGGGUGCGAGCGUUAAUCGGAAUUACUGGGCGUAAAGCGUAC